rnacentral:lncRNA from 1 species
UGGUUCAAAGCCUUUCUCAGAUUUGAGUGUGUCAAAAUUCCCUAAGGGUCUCAGAGGACCCCGAGCAGUGCUCACACCCAAGUUGCAUUAAUCAGAAUAGAGAUGAGUGCAGUUUGGAAAAGGCCAGCCUUUAUGUGUCCAAGUUCAGAAGGAACUCAUAGGUCCUAAAGCAAGGCUCACACAAGAGCGGCAGAACUUAAAUCUAAGAGUGGAGUGGAAGUGCAGGAAGAGAGAUUUAAAAUUGAAUAAAAGAUAGAGAGGGAAAAGGCCGAUUGGGAAAUAACACUUAGUAAAGUUUCAGAGUUGAUGACUUCAUACAAAGGGGUUAGAGGGUUGGGGAUUCAUUGCAAAGAGCAUGUAUACUUGGGCAAAGUCCAGCUUUGGGGAUGCACAACAAUAGAAGAUGUCAGCAUGCCUAUGAGCGAACCAGAAUACACAACAAACAGAGGAAACGUUAGGGUUAUGAUCCAAGGAGGAUCAAGUUUGGGCCAUAGACAACAAUAAUUAAUGUUGCCAUGCCCCAUACCAACCACAAUUAUCAAAAAUAUCGGGGGUGGGGGAUUUAAGGUUCAUAGACCAUGAUAAGUAAGUAACAAACCAUUAAUUCAGAACAGACAAGGGAGAAUGCAACAUGCUUAAUAAUGGAAAUUAGUUAAACACAAACAU